CUCGGAGGUGGCAGGCCAGAACCUGAGCCCGGCUCUACCUCCGCGAACUUUACACAGAGGCCGACACCCAAAUCCCCACUUCUCGGACAAGCGAGUAAGUAGUUGGCGGAGCAAAGAACAACUCCAGGUGCCUCCUGCCAGAACAGAUGCCAGCGUGGAGGAGGUGCUGUGUAAAAUGGCACUUCAAUCAGCCGUGAGGAGAACGGGUUACAGAGCCUCACUUCCAGCCUCGACGAUUCCACAGCCCGGGAGGGCAAAGGCAAUUAUUGGGCAGCUGCCAUGUACCAGACCCUGGACUACAGACCAGAGAUUAAAAAAAAAAAAAACUCCCCCCCACCAUGAUUCCCCUGAGCUUACAGCCUACUUAAACUAAGAUCCUAAUGUGUAUUUUAAUUUUGCAUGUCUUGCCUACCUUUAGGUUUUAAGCUACUUGAAAGUCAGGAUAUCUUUUAAUUUUAGUAUUCCCCAUUCUCAGUGAUCAGUCCCUGCCCACAAGGAAUUUGGAGUCUAGAAGAAGAAGGACCGAUUGGUGAACAAUUUAAAUAACAGUAACCCCAAACAAAAUUCAGAACACCUGGUCUGGCUCUGUAGGGUGUACAGUGGGAGACUGGGCUGAAAUAUUUAAAGUGCAGCUGUUCCAGAGAGGACCUAUAGCCCAAUGUGACCAGCCCAGAGGGAGGGAAGGAUUUGCUCCGCCCCUCAUGGUGUUCGAUGGGAAGAGUAGAGCAGGCUGAAGAAAAUUUUGGAGCCCCAAAAAUCAGAGGUACACUUGGGAAAACCUCAAGUUAUCAGUUUUGGGGAGUGUCUUCAGGAACAGGAAGACGUGAUGGAAAAGAAGGUGGAGACCAUGGAGGAUAUUUGUCCAAGGGUAGGAAUCUUCCCCCACCUUUCUGCCUUGCAGCUGGCCAUGAAGAAAUUCUCGGACCUACCUUGUCUGACUGUAGGACAUAAGGCUCAUUUCAGAAAGGGUCCUGCCCCAUACCCUGGAGGAAGAAAGGCUACACGGAGAAGCCAAGAAGAAUCUGAACAGACAGGCCUUGCUGGGUCUCGCCACUCAGUCUCUUAGUAUUAGAUCAUAUACCCUUUUGCCCAAUCACAUUUCCACGUGGUUGUCAAUCAUGCCUAUCCAGUGAAGUUUCCAUAAAAGGCCCAAGAGGACAGGGUUCAGGGGGCUUCUGGAUAGCUGGACAUCUGUGAAGGGUGUGGUAUGCAGGGAGGACACAGAAGCCCUGCACUCCUUCCCCUACCUCACCCCUUGCAUCUCUUCAUCUGUAUACUUUCGGAUAUCCUGUAUACUAAACCAGAAAAUGUAAAAUGUAAGUUUCCCUGAGUUCUAUGAGUUGUUCUAGCAAAUUAAUUGAACCCAAGGAGGGGGUCAUGGGAACCCCAGCUUGAAGCCGGUCAGUCAGAAGUUCUGAAGGCCUUGGCUGUGACUGGCAUCUGAGGGAAGGGCAGCCUUGGGGACUCAGCCAAGAUCUGUGGGAGCUGACGCUAUCUCCAGAUAGACUUGGAGGACACCCAGCUGGGGUCCAGAACUGAUUGCUUGCUUGGUGUGUGGAAAUCGCCCCCUCCCAUAUUUGGUCACAGAAGUCUUCUGUGUUGAUUGUUUUUGUGGUGUGAGAACAGAGGAGAGACAUAGUUUGAGCUGAUUUUUCUACAAACAUGUCAGCACCUAUGAGACUUAGGGUGGCUGGAAUGGUGUAGGCUGACCAAGCCUCUGUUUUUAUUUUUAUAU